UACGGGGGAUGCAAGCGUUAUCCGGAAUCAUUGGGCGUAAAGCGCCUGUAGGUUGUUUAUUAAGUCUGUGGUUAAAGACUAGGGCUUAACCCUGGGAAAGCAAUGGAAACUAAUAGACUAGAGUAUGGCAGGGGUAGAGGGAAUUUCUAGUGUAGCGGUGAAAUGCGUAGAUAUUAGAAAGAACACCGGUGGCGAAAGCGCUCUACUGGACCAUUACUGACACUCAGAGGCGAAAGCUAGGGUAGCAAAAGGGAUUAGAUACCCCUGUAGUCCUAGCCGUAAACGAUGGAUACUAGAUCUUGUGCAUAAAGUACAGUAUCGCAGCUAACGCGUUAAGUAUCCCGCCUGGGGAGUACGCUCGCAAGGGUG
rnacentral:rRNA from 1 species